rnacentral:rRNA from 1 species
AUUGAACGCUGGCGGCAGGCUUAACACAUGCAAGUCGAGCGGGGGAAGGUAGCUUGCUACCGGACCUAGCGGCGGACGGGUGAGUAAUGCUUCGCAAUCUGCCUAUUAGUGGGGGACAACAUCUCGAAAGGGAUGCUAAUACCGCAUACGUCCUACGGUAGAAAGAAGGGGAACUGCUGACCUUGCGCUAAUAGAUGAGCCUAAGUCGGAUUCGCUAGUUGGGGGGGUAAAGGCCUACAAAGGCGACGAUCUGUAGCGGGUCUGCGAGGAUGAUCCGCCGCACUGGUACUGGGACACGGGCCAGACUCCUACGGGAGGCAGCAGUGGGGAAUAUUGGACAAUGGGGGGAAUCCUGAUCCAGCCAUGCCGCGUGUGUGAGGAAUGCCUUAUGGUUGUAAAGCACUUUAAGCGAGGAGGAGGCUACUUUAGUUAAUACCUAGAGAUAGUGGACGUUACUCGCAGAAUAAGCACUGGCUAACUCUGUGCCAGCCGCCGCCGUAA